CAUUCAGUAGAGGGAAGAUGCAAAGCCCUCUCUACCUGUGGAUCUCAUAUCACCUUGACUGAGCUAAGUAAAAUAUGGCAUUCAAGAAGCUGAAAUGAAAUAAUCUAAAUAACAGGAGAAUGAACAGAAUUUCAAUGAGGACAGAGAGAAAACACUGGAAAGGAAGGAACAGGAAUGGAUUCACAACAAUUGAAGCAGAACAAUUGAAUCAGAGCUACCGAUGUGUGGAAGGAAAUGAAAUGAAGAGUACACAUUUAGAAUUGAUGGCUGAGUCAAGAAUAGAAACGUGAUGUCAACUCAAACUCUAAAAUUAAGAAGCUAGAAAUAUAGAUGGUAGUAGAUAUACGGUUAACCAGAUGUGCAUGAGGAAGUUGAAGAUAAAGGGAGGAUUGAUAACAUGGGAAAUAAAGCCUUAGCUUUGGCCUUAAGAAUGGAGCAACUGGAGAGUCAAACAGGUGGCUUUUAUGCAUUCUUUCUGCACUGGUUCAUGGAAAAUAGGAAUAUUGUCACUGUCUUUAUUCUCCUGGGACUUUCUCAAAACAAGAACAUUGAAGUUUUUUGUUUAAGCACCAGGAAAAAAUCCUAAGGAGAGUACAUAACAACAAGCCUGAACCUGUGGAUCUGAGAGAACCAAAAUUCAGGAAGAAUUUCUGGAGGUAAUUCUUGGCUAUUUUAGAUAACAACUUAUAAACAGAAUAUAGAAUACAGCAAUAC
ensembl:lincRNA